GUCUCGAUAGCUCAGCUGGAUAGAGCAGCCCCCUCCUAAGGGGCAGGUCGUAGGUUCGACUCCUACUCGAGACGCCA
rnacentral:tRNA from 1 species